rnacentral:rRNA from 1 species
GACGAACGCUGGCGGCGUGCUUAACACAUGCAAGUCGAACGGAAAGGCCCCUUUGGGGGUACUCGAGUGGCGAACGGGUGAGUAACACGUGAGUAACCUGCCCUUGACUUCGGGAUAACUUCAGGAAACUGGGGCUAAUACCGGAUAGGAAUCCUUGCUGCAUGGUGGGGGUCGGAAAGCUUCGGCGGUUUUGGAUGGACUCGCGGCUUAUCAGCUUGUUGGUGGGGUAGUGGCUUACCAAGGCUUUGACGGGUAGCCGGCCUGAGAGGGCGACCGGCCACAUUGGGACUGAGAUACGGCCCAGACUCCUACGGGAGGCAGCAGUGGGGAAUAUUGCACAAUGGGCGGAAGCCUGAUGCAGCAACGCCGCGUGCGGGAUGACGGCCUUCGGGUUGUAAACCGCUUUCAGCAGGGGCGAAGCUUGUGGUGACGGUACCUGCAGAAGAAGCACCGGCUAACUACGUG